rnacentral:rRNA from 1 species
GGUUCGAUCCUGGCUCAGCGGGGUCAGACGCUGGCGGGUGCUUACACCGCGCAAGUCGAACAGCAGCACAAGACUUCGGUCUGGUGGCGAGUGGCGAACGGGUGAAGUAUCAUAUCCGGAACGUGCCUAGUAGCGGGGGAUAACUACGCAGCGUAGCUAAUACCAUACAUGGCGUCGGGGAAAAGCAGGGGACCUUCGGGCCUCGCACUAUUAGAACUGACCGUCAUCAGUUCGCUGGUUGGUGGGGUAACGGCUCACCAAGGCGACGAUCCGUAGCUGAUUUGAAGGGACGACCAGCCACACUGGGGACUGAGACGGCCCAGACUCCUACGGGAGGCAGCAGUGAGGCCACUGGACGUGGAAACUGAUCCAGCCAUCCCGCGUGUGCGAUGAAGGCCUUCGGGUUGUAAAGCACUUUUUGGCAGGAAAGAAACGGCACGGGAUAUGCCCGUGCAACUGACGAAAACACCUGCAGAAUAAGCACCGGCUAACUACGUGCAACAGCCGCGAUAAUACGUAGAGUUACAAGCAUUAAUCAGAAUUACUGGGCAUGGCGUUGCGCAGGCGGUUCGGAAAGAAAGAUGUGAAAUCCCAGAGCUUAACUGGAACUGCAUUUUUAACUACCGAGCUAGAGUGUGUCAGAGGGAGGUGGAAUUCCGCGUGUAGCAGUGAAAUGCGUAGAUAUGCGGAGGAACACCGAUGGCGAAGGCAGCCUCCUGGAAAAGGUUAACCACACUGACGCUCAUGCACAACGUGGGGAGCAAGCAGGUUAGAUACCCUGGUAGUCCACGCCCUAAACAUUAUCCCAACUAGCUGUUGGGGCCUUCGGGCCUUGGUAGCGCAGCUAACGCGUGAAGUUGACCGCCUGGGAGGUACGGUCGCAAGAUUAAAAUAAAGGAAUUGACGGGGACCCGCACAAGCGGUGGAUGAUGUGGAUUAAUUCGAUGCAACGCGAAAACCUUACCUACCCUUGACAUGUCUGGAAUCCCGAAGAGAUUUGGGAGUGCUCGCAGAGAACCAGGACACAGGUGCUGCCAUGGCUGUCGUCAGCUCGUGUCGUGAGAUGUUGGUUGAUCCGCAACGAGCGCAACCCUUGUCAUUAGUUGCUACGAAAGGGCGCUCUAAUGAGACUGCCGGUGACAAACCAAGGAAGGUGGGGAUGACGUCAGUCCUCAUGGCCCUUAUGGGUAGGGCUUCACACGUCAUACAAUGGUCCGCGGACAGAGGGUCGCCAACCGCAGAGAUAAUCCCAGAAACCCGAUCGUAGUCCGGAUCGCAGUCUGCAACUCGACUGCGUGAAGUCGGAAUCGCUGGUAAUCGCGGAUCAGCAUGUCGCGGUGAAUACGUUCCCGGGUCUUGUACACACCGCCCGUCACACCAUGGGGGUGGGUUUUACCCAGAAGUAGUUAGCCUAACCGUAAGGAGGGCGAUUUCCACGGUAGGAUUCAUGACUGGGUGAAGUCGUAACAAGGUAG